GCAGGAACCUAGGACGGAGGACGUUGUACUCAAAGGGAAGGACAGCAUUUGUACUGAGUGGCGGACGGGUGAGUAACGCGUGGGAUAACCUGCCUCAUACAGGGGGAGUAACAAGUUGGAAACGGCGUGUUAAUACCGCAUAAGCGCACGAAACCGCAUGGUUUUGUGUGAAAAACUCCGGUGGUAUGAGAUGGGUCCGCGUCUGAUUAGCUAGUUGGCAGGGUAACGGCCUACCAAGGCGACGAUCAGUAGCCGGCCUGAGAGGGUGUACGGCCACAUUGGGACUGAGACACGGCCCAAACUCCUACGGGAGGCAGCAGUGGGGAAUAUUGCACAAUGGGGGGAAACCCUAAUGCAGCGACGCCGCGUGGGUGAAGAAGUAUUUCGGUAUGUAAAGCCCUAUCAGCAGGGAAGAAAAUGACGGUACCUGACUAAGAAGCCCCGGCUAACUACGUG
rnacentral:rRNA from 1 species